GAUUUCAUGUUGAUUGGAGAUCCUGGGUACUGAGUAUUGCCGAUUGAUAAAUUUUGAGGCAUCAGAAUCAUCCUCAUCACUGUCCAUAAGGCUAUCUUCUAGUUUACUAAGUUCUGUAUAUGAUUCAAAGAUCCUUUCCAGGGUAGAUCUAAUUUUUGAUGCAGCUAUAAAAGAUGGCACGUUGCAUUGCUUCUUAUACUUUGAGAACAUCCAACUUCUCAAUGAUGCAUUGUUACCAAGAACCUGCAUAAAAGAAAACUCAGAAUAAGAAAGCAAUGAAAUGGAUAUCUAUAGAUGCAGACAUUGAAUAAGCCAAGAAAAUAAAUAAUUUGCUAAAUAAAUUCUGUUAGUUACCUACUUACAUUCAACUAGAUGGGAAUUAUAUUUAGUGCUCUCAACUGUUCAAUAAAUUAAACUAGAUCUAUAUGCACUCAAGAAGGGUUACAUUUGCAAUAUUCAAUACAAUUAGAUUUUCAUGUAACAUAAUAUCAUCUCAUUAUUACAAACAAAAAAAGAGUACCAAAUUGAACAACGUUCAGAACAGAAAAGAAACAUCAACAUAGAAUAUAAAUUAUUAUUAUUCAUAAAAAAUUACAGCAUAUGACAAUCUUUUAUUGACAAAAAAAUAUAAAAAAAAGUUAGACCAGCUAUUUCAGAUAAUAUCACUUGUGCAACUUAAUUCCUUUUGAGUAAUAGAAAUUACACAUAAUGUAAUGCCGCCAAGUUUCUACUUUCUAUCACUGCAUGAUGUUCGUUUUCAACCUAUUAUCUGCUCUUGUAACUAAUGAUAAGAAUCAACAUUAUUGCAUUUAAAAUGGGCUUGGGACAAGACAGCUUUAACAAGUUUGCCAAAAGCCAAGGAUUAUUUGAUCUCACAUCUACCAUAAGCAGUGUCAUUAAAGGCGCAGAAAGUAGCGAAUUGCCUAACUAAGGUGCGCCUGGAUUUGAAAAGGCAAGCGCUUUGGGCCAAAAGCCGAGAGGCGCCAGGCCUUGGGAGGCACCGCCUCAUGCAUAUAACGA
rnacentral:misc_RNA from 1 species